UAAUUUUUGCUGUUAGGUCCAUGUGUUUAAAACUCUGAGAUCUACAGAUGCUGUACUACAAGGUUCAGAAGAUAAUUAGAGUAUGUUUGACUGUCUUUCAACACUUCUCAGUUACUUCUUUUCCUGCUUUUACAAUUACUUAAAAUCAAAAAAAAUAACAUCUAUAAAAUCAAUUCUUGACAUAAGCAGGGAUCAGGAUCCAGGUCAGGUCAGACAUAAGAUAAUUGUUGCAUGUGUUAAUUUUCUCAGACUUACAGAUGGGGGUACUGUAAGGGUCAAACAAUCAUGAAAACCACAGUGAUGCUCCAUCCCUAUGAGCUCAGGAAAUAGAGUCUACACACACACACACUGGAGAAAGUUCUGUCUGUCACUGCUUGCAGCUAAGUCCUUACAUUUUCCUUCAGACUUUGUCACUCCUGCACCCACGCAGCGUAUGCAAACAGAAAACCAAAUUCCUGUUUGGCUGUGCCUUCAUCUAUAAUGGAAACAAAUUGGAUCUCUCUGAGAGCAGCAAGUUGUUGACAACAAAGCUUUCACAGUCAGAGACGUGAGUGCUCAGUAACAAACAUAUUGAUAUAAAUGUCAGCACCAAAGCAAGUUAGAAGGAGAAAUCACUCACCCCUGAAAUAGCACUUCAGAUAAACACUAAAAGCUACCCUAAAGAAAUAGAAAUAUAGAAAUAAGCUUUCUAUAUUUAAAUAACACUCAAUUUCUUCAAAGUCUCAUGAAGUCUCAUGUAGAUUAAACCCAGUGACUAUCAAUCAAUUUAUCAUAUGCAGCAAUUACUUAGAUAAUAAGGGAGUGAGCAAAAGGACCAAUUUCAAAGUGUCAUUUAAAACUCAAGCACUCUUUCCAAGGCAGAUAGUGAAGGUGAAAUGCUAUUCUCUAGAAAUCUCUUUAAGGUCAAACUAUUUUGUCCAAAUGAACCCUGAGAGUCCAUUUCACUGGCAUUGCACCAGAACUGAAUGCAACUACAGGGUUCAAUGAAGCAAAUAGAAUUAUAUCAACCUGACUUAAGCAGGCAUUAUAGAAAUCUGGCACACUAUUUAUAUACAGAUUGGAGAACUUCAUCUUCAUAUCAGUUAUGAGGAGAUAAUUUAGUGUUAUAACAGAUAUUUAAGUGUAGUUUUUCUUGAUUUUUCUUGUUUAUUUUUCCAAAAGUUAAAAAAAAAUCAAUUACAGCUAAAGAAGUCUAAGAGCACAAAACUCUCAUGUGAAGAAAACCUGGAGGAGUUUAUUCCUCUAAAGCUGCUAUGACAUAUUCUGUUACUUUUCAUAGAGCUUUAAGUCAGAAAUCAUUCCACUGAGCCUUUAAGGAAUUCCUUGGCUUUAAGGAAUUUAACAGAAUGUUAUAUAGCUUAGAGGCUGAAAUUGUAACAUUUCAUAGAUAAUUAUACUCUUACCAUACAGUUCUAUCCCAAGAGCUUAAGAAACAUAAAAAACGCAUUAGUCCCUAAAAAUUGACAGAAAUUUAGAGUGAUUUCUAUAAAGUUGAAUAGAAUACUCAAUGCAGAGUUUAUGCUAAUGGCACAAAAUAGAAAGUUUGGCAUUGCUAGCCACUCUGAAAUAAACCCAUAACAAUUCCUGAAUAAAUCUGAAUGAGCAGAACACUUUCACACCAGAAUGCGGCUUUGUAUCAUAUGGCCAUAGCAUUUUUGAUUCAGGGUGGAAGGUCCUCAAACCAUAUUUUUAUCCUGUCUAACCACAGCCAUGUUUUGGUUUUCUGCCUUGCAAAUUUCUGAGUUUUUCCUUAAAUUAAUUUUAGUCACCUGAUUUCUCAUCGACUGAAGAACUCUGUCAUACAUUGGUUUUCUGGCCUUAGCCAAGUAGAUCGCAACAGGAAAUUAAUUUCUGGAUAAUCUCUUUUUUUUUCAUCCUAACCAUCAUAAAGAUAGGAGAAUUGAAACUUGCACAAAAUAGUCUUAAUUAGCCACAUGUUUAAGGUAAGUUCUCAGUUAACCAACUUGCACCAAAGUUUGUGCUUCAGAAGCUAAAGAAAUUUGCAUAAACAACAGAAUAGAAAAAGGAAUUUUGUGUCUUAGAUAUAAUAGAUAACUCUUAUUCAGGUUCCCUGAUAGUGCUCAGAAAUCUCCUCCUCCAUCACCAACAAAAGGUGAUGAUCACCUACAAUUUAAAUACAAUACAAUUUAAAUGCACCUAUAAUUUAAGUACAAUAAAAUUUAAAAUUCUGAAAGUGUAGCUUUAAAUAUCCUGGAACCAGUUUUCAGGAAAGGGGAAAUACUGAUAAAUGACAUAUACUCUUAGUAUUGUGGAAAUAAAUAAUUACUACAGUGUGUUUCAGAGACUCUGUCUGCUACUUGAGCAGACUGCCCAGACUAUUGGGACAGCCCAGAGAAAUAUAUUGUAUUUUCCUACUUUGACAUUUUAACAAAGCAUUCCUCUGCACUGCUGUGUAAACACCAGGGCCCAGAGCUUUUCUUUGUUGAGCCAUGAUGAAGUAGCAUUUCACAGUUGCAAUCAUGAAAUACAGGUUACACCAAAACCUCCUUCCAAACACAGCCCCAUGUUUAGGUGUAUGUGCAUACAGAGCCUUCAUGGACAUCUGCAUACUCAGCUGAAUAUUAGCAACUAGUAAAUAUUUCUAAACCAGAGGAGCUCUGAAGAAGCAAGUUUACCUAUGAAAACUAAACAAUGUUGAAUUCUCAUUUCAGCAUGAAACAGGAACUGAAAAAACCUCAAUGUCUUAAAUGCUAGAUUACAGCACUUACAAGCUGUAAUAUCUCUGACCUGUAUUAUCAUUCUUCCCUCUGGUGUACCUUUGUGCAGAAGCUUAGUGCAUUUGUUAGAAAAGCAACUUCUUGCUACAAAAGUUGAACAAAAAAUAGCUCUGGCCAUUUCAUAUUACUCUCAGCCCAAUAUCUUCCCCCCAACAAGUUUCUAUUAAUAUCUUUCAUUCUUUCUCAAAUGUAAUACUGGAGAAAAAUUAUUGACACAGCUUGUUGUGUAACAGCAUCUGUGACACAUGAAUGAAGAGAGCAACAGCUUGAGAAUAGACAAAAUUAUACUUUUGUUUGCCUUUGGUUAAUUGGAAUUUAUUAAAAAGAUGUUUUUUUAUUACAGUCUGCAGUAAGAAGCCAAGGUGAAAUGUGGUCAGUGGACAUCACUGUUAACAGGAAAUUAUUUUUGUUAUCAGAAUUGGUUCAGGGAAUUUGUAACUGCUUAGAGGUUUAGAAGCCAUCUGUGGAAUGUGCUUUUCUUUACCAUUCUGCAAGUUACAACUUAUAGUCUGCAGUUUGAGAAUCAAGCUUCUAAUCUACGAAUAGUGAGCAAACUACUUUUGCUUCUUAUCUGUUAGGAUUUUAAUCUUGAAUAGUUGAAAUGUUAAAGGCAAGCAAGUAUGUCAGGGGUAACCAGCAGAAUUGGGGAUCUUCAUUCCUUGGCCUUAAGCUGGUUUUAAGGUAAAGAUUUUUACUUCUUAAUCCAUUUAGUCAAUUCCAAUUGAAUGCAAAAGGGCAGAGUUAAAACCAGUAAGCUGAAAGCAAGAUAUGUCCUGAAACCCAUAUGAAUGUACUCUGGGUGAUAACUGGAAUUUAUGAACAGUACUCCAGGAAAAAAAAAAAAAAUAGAGAGAAAAAAAAAAAAAAAA
rnacentral:lncRNA from 1 species